UGCGUAGGGGGCGAGCGUUGUCCGGAAUCAUUGGGCGUAAAGAGCUCGUAGGCGGUUCAGCAAGUCGGCUGUGAAAGUCCGAGGCUCAACCUCGGAACUGCAGUCGAAACUGCUGUGACUAGAGUCCGGUAGAGGAGAAUGGAAUUCCCGGUGUAGCGGUGAAAUGCGCAGAUAUCGGGAGGAACGCCAGUAGCGAAGGCGGUUCUCUGGGCCGGUACAGACGCUGAGGCGCGAAAGCGUGGGGAGCAAACAGG
rnacentral:misc_RNA from 1 species